UAACUUUUUUGGGAGAAGCUUGGGGGUGCAAUGAAAGUGGGCCUUCAUCAGGGGGGGCGUGGCUUGGUCUUUUAGGGACAAUGGAGAAGGUCUCUUCUUCUACCACUUCUGGGUUAGCGAGCAAGAUUUUUAUUCUGGUAUGCCUCUGCCCAAAUAGGACCCAAGCUGCUAUCUCGGGGUCCAGGACAUUUAGCAAUCCAGACAGAAGACAUUACCGCUUAAUUAGAAAUGAGACAACUCAGGUGCGUGUCUGUGGGUUGGCGGCAGGACGCCGGGCGAGAGAGCCACCAUUUCGAUUGCGUUGCUGAGGUAAUUCGAGCUGUCACAUUCAGCUGUCAAGAGGAGGUAAUGGAGACCGCCUUGGGGAGAAGCCUCCGUGGGGGAAUGCAGUGCGUACUUCGGAUUAAAAGAGGUGGCCACGGUGGAUCAAUGCCGCUCCCCGUGA